GAUUUCUGGCUUGGUGCGCCUGGCCCACUGCCUUCAGGUACGUGAGUGCCGGUGCGCGCCUGCCAUCCCUUCUAGAAAACGAUUCUGCCCUUCACUGGGCCGGAGUCGCGAUCUAGAUCUUUUACUUUGAAAAAAUUAGAGUGUUCAAAGCAGGCUUGCGCUAUGAAUACAUUAGCAUGGAAUAAUAAUUUAGGACUUUUGUCCUAUUUUGUUGGUUUCUAGGACGAAAGUAAUGAUUGAUAGGGAUAGUUGGGGGUGCUAGUAUUCAGCGGCCAGAGGUGAAAUUCUCGGAUUCGCUGAAGACUAACUUAUGCGAAAGCAUU
rnacentral:rRNA from 1 species